AUUUUACUGAAUUUAGAAAGAGUAACUAACUAGACGUACCUUUCUGUUACGCGUCGGCAGCAAAUCAGGCUCGUUUUGUUAUCGCCAGGGGUAUAUUGGCUCGACUGCGUGCCAAAAUGGUACGAUUAGGUGAGAACUGGGUGAAAUAUCUAUUAGAUCAUGCAAGAAAGAACACGUGGAUGAUUGUCGCGAGCGCUGGCGCUGGCAAGAAGAGCGAGAGUUUUUCAACAGGCUGUAUUUCAGUGCAAAGCAAAAAGGCAAAAAAGGUUAUGAACUUCAGUGCCUUCAGAGGAUGAAGUCCAACAUCAUAUCACAAUCUGCCGCUUCAAUUAAACAAUGGUCGAAAGUAAAAGUGAGGAUUCUGUUACAACUGCAAAGAGAGCUGAGGAAAAGGAAAGUGGAAAGGGAGCAUGCCUGUAUGUGUCCUCAGCAAAAAGUUCAGAUUCAACAACAAUCAUCAUCAAGAAACAGGAGACCAUUAGGAUUUAUUGUUAACAUUAGGAAUCAAGCAUUGCAUCAGCUUCACAGUUAUGUGCCUCCAUGAGGAUGGCUCUUAUUGUGUUGGAAGACUGUGAAGAAAACAAUUUCAUUGAGACUAUCAAAUCACCAAAGGAUGAUGAUACAACAAGCACACACCCAUUGUAUUUAUUUCUUCUGGACCCCUGUCAGAUACUUGAUGCAAGAGCAGUACAUUGAUGAGCUUGUGUUCAAAUGCUUGACGCUGGAGUGUGAUCUGGGAAGUGCAGUAAAUUGCCUGAUAACGCAACCAGGACAAUAAACAGUUACUCCUAAAUCAAAGAGGCCUGGCAUUGUUAGAAAAAGGAAAUUUGAUGCAGAUUUUCUAUCAUCAAGGAACAAUGAUUGUGAUUGUGAUUGUGAAAAUAUUAUUUGAUUAACCCUUUUACUCCCAUUAGUGACCAAGACAGAAUUUCUCCCUACAAUAUCAAUACAAUAUCAAGUGGACAAGUGAUGAGAAUGAAGAAAAAUAUCAGUUAGGUGAUUAUAAGUUGACUCAAUACCAAAUUCUCCAAACUAACAUCACAAGAACUGUAUGGCAGACAGUGAGGAGAAACUGCUAAUUAGAUCUUGGGAGUUAAAGGGUUAAGUGCUAUCUUAUGGAACAAGCUGCAAAAGGAGCCAAUACAUUUAUAACUUGCAAGCCUUUGAAAACUGCAUACCAUGUGUUCCCUCAAAAUUAUAGUUUUCCCUGCUUAUAACCCAGUUGCUUAGUUGUAGGUCAGAGUAAGUGGGCUAGUUGUAGCAACUUGUCUGCUUUAUGUGUUUAGCACUUGUUUUGUAAGGAUUUGAUAAUAUUUGAUACUUUAUAUUUGAAAAGUUUUGGAUUUUUGAUGUCAACACCUAGAGCUUCAAUGUGAACCAAAAGUUGGCUGCUGACAUAAUGUACAGUACUUACUUACAGUAUAUGGGAUGGAGCAACUCAUCCUGCAACCUAAAUGAAGCACUCCUCCAUCCCUGUUGGGACUGUUUUGGUUGCCCUUGUAAUAUUAUGUAGUGUUAGUAGUACAAUCAUGCACUUGAGGAGAACUUUUGAGAUUACUUGAGCUUGUGGUUUUACAUGUAU